rnacentral:rRNA from 1 species
CCUACGGGAGGCAGCAGUGGGGAAUAUUGCACAAUGGGGGGAACCCUGAUGCAGCGACGCCGCGUGAGUGAAGAAGUAUUUCGGUAUGUAAAGCUCGGUAAGCAGGGAAGAAGAAAGACGGUACCUGACCAAGAAGCCCCGGCUAACUACGUGCCAGCAGCAGAGGGAAAACGACGGGGGCAAGCGUUAUCCGGAGUGACUGGGUGUAAAGGGAGGGUAGCCGGCAGGGUAAGUCUGGAGUUAAAGGCAGGGGCCCAACCCCUGGACUGCUCUGGAAACUGGCCGGCUGGAGUGCAGGAGAGGUAAGUGGAAUUCCUAGUGUAGCGGUGAAAUGCGUAGAUAUUAGGAGGAACACCAGUGGCGAAGGCGGCUUACUGGACUGUAACUGACGUUGAGGCUCGAAAGCGUGGGGAGCAAACAGGAUUAGAUACCCGGGUAGUC